AACGAACGCUGGCGGCAUGCCUAACACAUGCAAGUCGAACGAGACCUUCGGGUCUAGUGGCGCACGGGUGCGUAACGCGUGGGAACCUGCCCUUAGGUUCGGAAUAACUCCCCGAAAGGGGUGCUAAUACCGGAUAAUGUCUUCGGACCAAAGAUUUAUUGCCUUUGGAUGGGCCCGCGUUGGAUUAGCUAGUUGGUAGGGUAAAAGCCUACCAAGGCGACGAUCCAUAGCUGGUCUGAGAGGUUGAACAGCCACACUGGGACUGAGACACGGCCCAGACUCCUACGGGAGGCAGCAGUGGGGAAUAUUGGACAAUGGGCGAAAGCCUGAUCCAGCAAUGCCGCGUGAGUGAUGAAGGCCUUAGGGUUGUAAAGCUCUUUUACCCGGGAUGAUAAUGACAGUACCGGGAGAAUAAGCUCCGGCUAACUCCGUG
rnacentral:rRNA from 1 species